ACGUAGGGCGCAAGCGUUGUCCGGAAUUAUUGGGCGUAAAGAGCUCGUAGGCGGUCUGUUGCGUCCGCUGUGAAAACUCGGGGCUUAACCCCGAGCCUGCAGUGGAUACGGGCAGACUAGAGGUAGGUAGGGGAGAAUGGAAUUCCCGGUGUAGCGGUGAAAUGCGCAGAUAUCGGGAGGAACACCGGUGGCGAAGGCGGUUCUCUGGGCCUUACCUGACGCUGAGGAGCGAAAGCGUGGGGAGCGAACAGGA
rnacentral:rRNA from 1 species